rnacentral:rRNA from 1 species
GAUGAACGCUAGCUACAGGCUUAACACAUGCAAGUCGCAGGGUAACAUGAGGAAAGCUUGCUUUCCUUGAUGACGACUGGCGCACGGGUGAGUAACGCGUAUCCAACCUUCCCAUAACUACGGGAUAGCCCGUUGAAAGACGGCCUAAUACCGUAUGACAUCGUUUGCUGACAUCAAAUAACGAUUAAAGGUUUAGCGGUUAUGGAUGGGGAUGCGUCUGAUUAGCUUGUUGGCGGGGUAACGGCCCACCAAGGCGACGAUCAGUAGGGGUUCUGAGAGGAAGGUCCCCCACAUUGGAACUGAGACACGGUCCAAACUCCUACGGGAGGCAGCAGUGAGGAAUAUUGGUCAAUGGGCGAGAGCCUGAACCAGCCAAGUAGCGUGCAGGAUGACGGCCCUAUGGGUUGUAAACUGCUUUUAUGUGGGGAUAAAGUGCGUGACGUGUCAUGCAUUGCAGGUACCACAUGAAUAAGGACCGGCUAAUUCCGUG